rnacentral:misc_RNA from 1 species
UUUCCGUAGGUGAACCUGCGGAAGGAUCAUUAUUGUAUAAUCGAGGUGCGAGGCCCGUCGCUGACCCGAAAGGUCGUGCACGCCCGAGUGCCCUCACACACAUCCAUCUCACCCCUAUGUGCACCACCGCGUGGGUCCCCCUUUGGCUUGUUCGGUGGGGGGCUUACGUUUUCACACAAACUUUGUAUGCAGUGUAGAAUGUAUUUUUUGUUUUUGCGAUCACGCAAUCAAUACAACUUUCAACAACGGAUCUCUUGGCUCUC